rnacentral:rRNA from 1 species
AGUGAACGCUGGCGGUAGGCCUAACACAUGCAAGUCGAACGGCAGCACAGUAAGAGCUUGCUCUUACGGGUGGCGAGUGGCGGACGGGUGAGGAAUACAUCGGAAUCUACUUUUUCGUGGGGGAUAACGUAGGGAAACUUACGCUAAUACCGCAUACGACCUACGGGUGAAAGCAGGGGAUCUUCGGACCUUGCGCGAUUGAAUGAGCCGAUGUCGGAUUAGCUAGUUGGCGGGGUAAAGGCCCACCAAGGCGACGAUCCGUAGCUGGUCUGAGAGGAUGAUCAGCCACACUGGGACUGAGACACGGUCCAGACUCCUACGGGAGGCAGCAGUGGGGAAGAUUGGACAAUGGGCGCAAGCCUGAUCCAGCCAUACCGCGUGGGUGAAGAAGGCCUUCGGGUUGUAAAGCCCUUUUGUUGGGAAAGAAAAGCAGCAGGUUAAUACCCCGCUGUUCUGACGGUACCCAAAGAAUAAGCACCGGCUAACUUCGUG